rnacentral:rRNA from 1 species
AGAGUUUGAUUAUGGCUCAGGAUGAACGCUAGCUACAGGCUUAACACAUGCAAGUCGAGGGGUAGCAGGGUAGCAAUACCGCUGACGACCGGCGCACGGGUGAGUAACACGUAUCCAACCUUCCCAUAACUCAGGGAUAGCCUUUCGAAAGAAAGAUUAAUACCUGAUAGUACUUUUUCAAGGCAUCUUGAAAAAGUUAAAGAUUUAUUGGUUAUGGAUGGGAUGCGUUCCAUUAGAUAGUUGGUGAGGUAACGGCUCACCAAGUCUUCGAUGGAUAGGGGUUCUGAGAGGAAGGUCCCCCACAUUGGUACCGAGACACGGACCAAACUCCUACGGGAGGCAGCAGUGAGGAAUAUUGGUCAAUGGGCGAGAGCCUGAACCAGCCAAGUAGCGUGAAGGAAUGAAGGUCCUAUGGAUUGUAAACUUCUUUUAUAGUAGAAUAAAGUGAGCCACGUGUGGUUUUUUGUAUGUAUACUAUGAAUAAGGAUCGGCUAACUCCGUGCCAGCCGCAGC